rnacentral:rRNA from 1 species
GACGAACGCUGGCGGCGUGCUUAACACAUGCAAGUCGAACGGUGAAGCGCCUUCCUUUUUGGUGGGUGUGGAUGAGUGGCGAACGGGUGAGUAACACGUGAGUAACCUGCCCCCUUCUUCUGGAUAACCGCAUGAAAGUGUGGCUAAUACGGGAUAUUCUGGGUCUGUCGCAUGAUGGGUCUGGGAAAGAUAUUGUUUCGGUGGGGGAUGGGCUCGCGGCCUAUCAGCUUGUUGGUGGGGUGAUGGCCUACCAAGGCGGUGACGGGUAGCCGGCCUGAGAGGGUGGACGGUCACACUGGGACUGAGACACGGACCAGACUCCUACGGGAGGCAGCAGUGGGGAAUAUUGCACAAUGGGCGCAAGCCUGAUGCAGCGACGCCGCGUGAGGGAUGGAGGCCUUCGGGUUGUGAACCUCUUUCGCCAGUGAAGCAGGCCUGCCUCGUUUGUGAGUGGGUUGACGGUAGCUGGAUAAGAAGCGCCGGCUAACUACGUG